rnacentral:rRNA from 1 species
GACGAACGCUGGCGGCGUGCCUAAUACAUGCAAGUAGAACGCUGAAGAGAGGAGCUUGCUCUUCUUGGAUGAGUUGCGAACGGGUGAGUAACGCGUAGGUAACCUGCCUUGUAGCGGGGGAUAACUAUUGGAAACGAUAGCUAAUACCGCAUAACAAUAGGUGACACAUGUCAUUUAUUUGAAAGGGGCAAUUGCUCCACUACAAGAUGGACCUGCGUUGUAUUAGCUAGUAGGUGAGGUAACGGCUCACCUAGGCGACGAUACAUAGCCGACCUGAGAGGGUGAUCGGCCACACUGGGACUGAGACACGGCCCAGACUCCUACGGGAGGCAGCAGUAGGGAAUCUUCGGCAAUGGGGGCAACCCUGACCGAGCAACGCCGCGUGAGUGAAGAAGGUUUUCGGGUCGUAAAGCUCUGUUGUAAGUCAAGAACGAGUGUGAGAGUGGAAAGUUCACACUGUGACGGUAGCUUACCAGAAAGGGACGGCUAACUACGUG